CCCUAGGUGGUGCAAAUGGUUAGCAUGCUCAGCUCCUAACAGAAAGGUUGGAGGUUCAAGUCCACCCCAAGGCA
rnacentral:tRNA from 1 species